GAACGUACGCUGGCGGCACGCCUAACACAUGCAAGUCGAACGAAGUAGCAAUACUUAGUGGCAGACGGGUGAGUAACAUGUAGGUAUCUGCCCUUUGGCCUGGAAUAACACGAGGAAACUUGUGCUAAUACCGGAUAAGUCUUUACGGAGAAAGCUUUAUGCACCAUUGGAUGAGCCUGCACUUGAUUAGUUUGUUGGUGGGGUAAUGGCCUACCAAGACUGUGAUCAAUAGCUGAUUUGAGAGGAUGAUCAGCCACAUUGGGACUGAGACACGGCCCAAACUCCUACGGGAGGCAGCAGUGGGGAAUCUUGCACAAUGGAGGAAACUCUGAUGCAGCGAUGCCGCGUGAGUGAAGAAGGCCCUUGGGUUGUAAAGCUCUUUCGUCGGGGAAGAAAAUGACUGUACCCGAAUAAGAAGGUCCGGCUAACUUCGUGCCAGCAGCCGCGGUAAUACGAAGGGACCUAGCGUAGUUCGGAAUUACUGGGCUUAAAGAGUUCGUAGGUGGUUGAAAAAGUUAGUGGUGAAAUCCCAGAGCUUAACUCUGGAACUGCCAUUAAAACUUUUCAGCUAGAGUAUGAUAGAGGAAAGCAGAAUUUCUAGUGUAGAGGUGGAAUUCGUAGAUAUUAGAAAGAAUACCAAUUGCGAAGGCAGCUUUCUGGAUCAUUACUGACACUGAGGAACGAAAGCAUGGGUAGCGAAGAGGAUUAGAUACCCUCGUAGUCCAUGCCGUAAACGAUGUGUGUUAGACGUUGGAAAUUUAUUUUCAGUGUCGCAGGGAAACCGAUAAACACACCGCCUGGGGAGUACGACCGCAAGGUUAAAACUCAAAUGAAUUGACGGGGACCCGCACAAGUAGUGGAGCAUGUGGUUUAAUUCGAAGAUACGCGCAGAACCUUACCAACACUUGACAUGUUCGUCGCGACUCUAAGAGAUUAGAGUUUUCGGUUCGGCCGGACGAAACACAGGUGCUGCAUGGCUGUCGUCAGCUCGUGUCGUGAGAUGUUGGGUUAAGUCCCGCAACGAGCGCAACCCUCACUUUUAGUUGCCAUCAUUAAGUUGGGCACUCUGAAAGAACUGCCAGUGAUAAGCUGGAGGAAGGUGGGGAUGACGUCAAGUCCUCAUGGCCCUUACGUGUUGGGCUACACACGUGCUACAAUGGUAUCUACAACAGGAAGCAAAACUGCGAAGUUAAGCAAAUCCCUAAAAGAUACCUCAGUUCGGAUUGCACUCUGCAACUCGAGUGCAUGAAGCUGGAAUUACUAGUAAUCGUGGAUCAGCGUGCCACGGUGAAUGCGUUCCCGGGUCUUGUACACACCGC
rnacentral:rRNA from 1 species